AUUAUACUUUACCCGCCCAAGUAAACACCGUCGUCUCAUGAUCUUCGUCUAGCUCCAGCUCUGUACAGUGUACAGCAAUGGUGAGAAUCCAGGUGAAGCAUGGAGCGGACAAGGAAUUUAUAUACGACUGUGAAAUCACUUAUCAAUUGGAAGAAAUCGCCUCUGAAGUUCUUCAUAUUUCAAAUCUCCAAUACAAAAUUGAUCGCUUACUGUUAAAACUCGAGCCUCUUCUAUCACCGCUCCGUGGAAACCCUAAAAUUAUUCCUCUUAUUAGAGCCUUAUCUGGAGCUAAAGUAUAUGCAUCAAAGGACCAGGUUUUGAAUAAUAAGGCUGUGUCAUUUUAUGUAAUGAGAGAUCAUGUACAGGCAGUAGAGGGACUAGUCAUGGAAAAUUAUCAAUUAUUAGGUUUUGAGGAUUCUAAUCAAGUACAAAAGCUCCUAACAGAUGUGGAAGUUCUUCAUGAAGAAACGACUCAUCUUCUUUGGGCAGGGAAAGAACUCGCUAAGGGGAAACGGUUGUGUGAUUAUAUUGGAAUGAAUGACAAAACUAAGAUUGUGCUUCGACUGCAGCCACCUAACUCGUGCUCUGCUUAGUUUUUGAUUAUUGGAGUUUCGAGCAAAUCAAAGUGGCCGUGAAGAAUUUAUUUAUAGAUAAAGGCAGGGGUCGCUUGGCUAUCCUUGAGAGGCAGACGAGACUGAUGGCUUUUGUUUUUUCACCAAGUAAUGAUUUCAUCUAUUGUUGUUACGGAGUUCAGGUUUUUCAUGGUCUUCAUAGAUAGCUAGUUUAGAAGCUGACAAUGAGUAUAACCCAAUCUCUGUUGCACUCUUUCUUGAGCAGAAAAUCUGCUGAGACUGAGACUGCUUGCAAUGUGCUAUUGCUCCUUGAAUUGGAUUCUCAACCUCUGCAUUUACACUGCUGCUUCUCUUCAGAAAUGGCAGCACAUAAACUCCAUUUGUAUUAAUGGAGCUUGAAGAAGAAGAUCCAGAUGACGACGUUGACGAAGAUGACGAUGACUUAGCUGUCGAAUGACGUUUAAUUGCCAUUGAGAACGAUCUUCUGUGAAGCCGCCCGCUUUCGCCAACAUCCCGGUUGAUCUUCUGAAUUUGUCCAAAAGGGAUUUUCUUCGUCGGCCGUUCACAUCUCAUCAAAGACUCUUUCACUCUCGUAAUAGUUCCCUCAUCUGCAACUUUAGUUGCUGCAGUACAGGAUUCAGCCGAGCAACCGGAUUUUCCAAACAAAGACUUGAGAAGGAGAAAUAUUGCAGGAUUCAAAUGGGGUAGUGGCUGAAGUUGGUGUAGUUAGAGCUGUCAUUAAAGGGGUGCUAUAGAAGUCUUCUUCAAAGGUAUUAUGAUGAUUUCUUACAGAAGUGGAGUGUUCUAGAAGCUUUUCGACCAUUUGUAACCGAGGAGGAAGAUGAAGUGGGAGGAGUUUUCCUUUGUAGAAAAGCUCAUCAGCUGGAGAAGUUGUGGGCUCUUUUUCUAGUGAAAUUGAUGACAUGUGAAACUCGAAUUCGCUUGGUUGUGGUGGCAAGGUUUUGGAAUGGCAGAGAAAGUUUCCAACUUCCAUGUCGAUAUAGUCAUCAUCUGCAUUAUCAUAUGAUAAAAAGUUGACUGCCAUUUCUGCUACCAACUCAAUGAUCUGAUCAAGGUAUGCUUCUGUAUCUCUCUCUUUAUGUUGGUUUUUCUUUUUUUGUGUUUUUAUUGGUGGGUAAUAUAGUAGUAGCUAAUGGAGAUAUAAGCUUAAUAAUGGGCUCCAAAUGAAGGAAAGGGGAGUAUUUAAAGGUAGGAGUGUUCAAAAAUUGAAUCAGACCAACUAAUCAAAUCGAACCAAACUUGUCGAUUCAGUCUGAUAAUAUAAAAAAAAUUGGUUUUUCAGUUCA